GGAUGAAGUAGAGGUGCGGGAGUUAACAGUACUUUCAGGGAGAGCGGCGUCGAUGAGCUGGAAGGAAAGGGACAACCGCCGAAGUAAAAGCAGGACUGCCAGUCUCUUUUACUGGUCUUAUAUCAAACAGGUUUAAGACUGUCACCAUUACUUGGUGGAGUGCUAUCUCAUCU
rnacentral:ncRNA from 2 species